rnacentral:rRNA from 1 species
UACGGGGGGGGCAAGCGUUGUUCGGAAUUACUGGGCGUAAAGGGCUCGUAGGCGGCCAACUAAGUCAGACGUGAAAUCCCUCGGCUUAACCGGGGAACUGCGUCUGAUACUGGAUGGCUUGAGUUUGGGAGAGGGAUGCGGAAUUCCAGGUGUAGCGGUGAAAUGCGUAGAUAUCAGGAGGAACACCGGUGGCGAAGGCGGGUCUCUGGGCCGAUACUGACGCUGAGGAG